AUACAAAUCACCUUGAGGUCUUGUUAAAAAGCAGAUUCUGGUUUACUAGUUCUGGGUGGUGCUGAGUUUCUGCAUUUCUAACAAGCUCCUGAGUGACACAGAU
rnacentral:pre_miRNA from 1 species